rnacentral:rRNA from 1 species
UAGGGAAUCUUCGGCAAUGGACGGAAGUCUGACCGAGCAACGCCGCGUGAGUGAAGAAGGUUUUCGGAUCGUAAAGCUCUGUUGUAAGAGAAGAACGAGUGUGAGGGUGGAAAGUUCACACUGUGACGGUAUCUUACCAGAAAGGGACGGCUAACUACGUGCCAGCAGCCGCGGUAAUACGUAGGUCCCGAGCGUUGUCCGGAUUUAUUGGGCGUAAAGCGAGCGCAGGCGGUUAGAUAAGUCUGAAGUUAAAGGCUGUGGCUUAACCAUAGUACGCUUUGGAAACUGUUUAACUUGAGUGCAAGAGGGGAGAGUGGAAUUCCAUGUGUAGCGGUGAAAUGCGUAGAUAUAUGGAGGAACACCGGUGGCGAAAGCGGCUCUCUGGCUUGUAACUGACGCUGAGGCUCGAAAGCGUGGGGAGCAAACAGGAUUAGAUACCCUGGUAGUCCACGCCGUAAACGAUGAGUGCUAGGUGUUAGACCCUUUCCGGGGUUUAGUGCCGCAGCUAACGCAUUAAGCACUCCGCCUGGGGAGUACGACCGCAAGGUUG